UUAGACAUUAUUAGGUUGUUGAACGCCAUUCCAGGGGGUGCCUUUGUACGUGAACCAGAUCUUGAAAAGCAGGAUGUGGAUGGACUCUGUCUACUUUGUAUGUGUCUACUUUGUGGAUACGCUGCUGCAGGAUGUGGAUGGACUCUGUCUAGACUUUUGUAUGUGUCUACUUUGUGGAUAUGCCGCUGCAGGAUGUGGAUGGACUCUGUCUAGACCUUGGUCAUCUGCCCUGUCUUCCUCCUCUUUCGGUUGGCGGGGGUUUGUGGAUGAAGCAUUCGAGUUGGUCAAUAGCUUCUACCGAAGGACAUCAUGCUCAGACCUCCCAAGCAUCAGAUGGAAACACUACAUGGACAGUAGGAUUAUUGCAAUGAAGUCGAUUGUUUGAAGAUGAUGGUGGAGCUCUAAACACUAUGCGUGCAAAUCUGAGGAAGAAUCUCACGGAAGGGUUUCACGAAAGAGAACAAGGUCGGUGCUGGCCAUGAUGGACGGUUGAACAGAUAAACCAUGGCACCGCUUAGGCAAGGUCGUCAAAUUAGCUGAUAAAUAUGGAUUCCCAACAUAUAUUUUUGAGAAUAUUUGAUACUUAUUAGUCAUUAUUCUGCAUCGAGCAGAAUGCCACCGCUGCCCAGGGCCAUGUGAGUCAUUCUGGGCAUCAAUGUGCUAUAUCGUACAUCCUCCUCUUGCAGCUAUUAAACUGGCUCAUGGUGUCGAUAGCCUUAUAUUGGAAAUUAAGAAUGGCUCUCUAUUUUUGGCGGAACAGGAAGGGAGCAAGCAGGAAACAGUGAGAACGUUCGGAAUGGUGGUUCUGCAACAAUACAUCAUUUCUUUGUCCUAGAUUUGUUAAUGGAAUUGGAAAAGAGAUGUUGGUGUUGUCCCUGUCUAAUAGAUGACACAUUGUACAGGUUGGUCUGGGCUGGAGCAUUGGAGCUCUUGCGCGGCUGCGCCCCAAAGUCGUGCAAAUGGCUUCUACUGUCAUUAUUCUGCAUCGAGCAGAAUGCCACCGCUGCCCAGGACCAUGUGAGUCAUUCUGGGCAUCAAUGUGCUAUAUCGUAGAUCCUCCUCUUGCAGCUAUUAAACUGGCUCAUGGUGUCGAUAGCCUUAUAUUGGAGAUUAAGAAUGGCUCUCUAUUUUUGGCGGAACAGGAAGGGAGCAAGCAGGAAACAGUGAGAACGUUCGGAAUGGUGGUUCUGCAACAAUACAUCAUUUCUUUGUCCUAGGUUGGUCUGGGCUGGAGCAUUGGAGCUCUUGCGCGGCUGCGCCCCAAAGUCGUGCAAAUGGCUUCUACUGAAUAUUGCAAAUUGGGAGCUAUUCACAAGUCUUAUUUAUUCUGGUGUGGAGGUGUUAACCGCACACCACCAUUAGCAGGUCAAGUAACUCUCUGAACUUAUGUCAUUAGUACUGGAUUGGGUCUUUUAUUUUCCGUCACUGCCUGUCACGUCACAUCCUCACCAUCUCUGCACAGCACCUGCAGUACGCCACUCGCUAUCCUUUCCACGAUGACAGCGACAUCGGCUGUAUCUUGGAUGGGUUUUCUGCUAUCCUCACCUCAUGAGGCCAUUAACUAGCUUGAUGAGGCGGGCAUCAGCCGAAGGUUGGAGCCAACAGAGCCAACAUUAGGUGCUAUGGCGUGGCCUUCUUCUCUUCUCAGGAAAUCAAGUUUUUGCGAACGGAACAUAGCUUGCUUGCUCUCAAACACGUGUAGAGUUUCUCCUCUUUCAUUCUAUGGCUGAUCGCUGGCAAAGCUCUGAAAUCAUUUGGAUUGUGGUUAUUCAAGCUAUGGUACCAGGAAGGAUUUGAGGUGGUAGAAAUGGCAGGACCACGAUUGUCGCAAAAAUGGUGAGAUAAGGCCAGCAAUCUGCUCUGUUCUCAACAGUGUCUUUGAGUACCUGCCAAAUGGGUCUCUUUACGAGCAUCUUCAAGAUGGGAAGGAUGUCAGCUAUCUUGGCCCUGUCGGGUGGAGAUCGUGCGCAUUCUAAGUCACUUGCAAACUGACAUGCAGCUUCCAUUCGCCGUCGCCGCUGAAUCAUGCUUUCAUGUACAGAGUGACUAUUAUUUUUCUUCUUAAUAUUGAGAGCAUUGUUAAUCUGCAGUUUGCACGUGGAGAAAUAAUGCUUAGUUUGAUGUUAGUCUCUUCUACAAAUAUGUCUGUCAUUCUAUUGAAUGUGUUAUAAUGACACACUUGCUGAAGCAGCUACACUUAAUAUUCAGGUGAUCAUAAUCAUGUUUGUUUCUGUAUUUUGAUGUCAUUCUCUGUGCUAAAUGUAAACAUGAGUUCUGCAUAUUUAGUAAAGAAGAUAAUAGAGACGAACUAGAAAACUUCGGUCUUGCUAAAUGGAAGGCUGACAAUGCCGGAAUACUGGUAUGGACAAAGUCUGUAAAUCCCAUGCUACUGUUAACUCUGUUUCAUAAUGUGCUACCCUUCUGCUCUUGUAUUUCUAGCAAUGCCAAGAUUUUUUUGUAAUGUCUAUUGUAAAAAUACUUAGCAUAGUUUCUCUUAGAAUGGACGUAUGCUUUUCCUUUCACAGUUUUGUUUUGCUGACGAAGCUUAGGUAAUGUAUUUUCCAGGUACACUCCUGAAAACCUGUAUUCCAGAAUCCGGUACACUCCAGAAGGUGCUGCUUGUGAAUUGGCCUUCAUGCUUUGCAAAUGGAGGCAUGAAGAUGGCCUGCAAGGAUCCUUUGGAUUGGCUUGUCCCUUACUUAGGCCAGUGAGGUUUGUUACCCUUUUAGAUUGGAAACGAUCCAGUGGCUGCUCAGCAAAAAGUUUCAGAUAAAAAGGGUACAUAGUGUAAUUAGAAGCUUUAACUUAAAUCUUUGUACCACACAUACUACUGAUACUUACUUGAACAGUGUGCAUUUUGAGGUAUUGUACCACACAUACUACUGAUACUUGCUUGAACAGUGUGACAGAACUAAUAUUUGUUGCAUCGAUCAUGUAUUUCUUGUUGAUUUUUGGCGGAAGAGCUUAUACAAAAGCAUGAAAGCUGAAAAAUAGUGUGAAAUCAUACUAAAUAAUGUAAAAUACUAAAGCAAUUAAAUUUUGGGCUAAUUUUUAAUAUAAAAUAAGCUAACAUUUAUGGUUUAAAUGUUGACUUAACUUUGCCAUUUGCGCGAUAGCGCAACGGGUCA